UACGUAGGCAGCGAGCGUUGUUCGGAGUUACUGGGCGUAAAGAGUGCGUAGGCGGUUUUCUAAGUUUGGUGUGAAAUCUCCCGGCUCAACUGGGAGGGUGCGCCGAAGACUGGAAGGCUUGAGUAUGGGAGAGGUAAGCGGAAUUCCUGGUGUAGCGGUGAAAUGCGUAGAUAUCAGGAGGAACACCUGCGGUGUAGACGGCUUACUGGACCAUAACUGACGCUGAGGCACGAAAGCGUGGUUAGCAAACAGG
rnacentral:rRNA from 1 species